GCCAAAGUGGCGGAACUGGCAGACGCGCACGACUCAAACUCGUGUUCCUUUUUGGAGUGUGGGUUCGAUUCCCACCUUUGGCA
rnacentral:tRNA from 2 species